CAGUAGCCGCGGGAAAACGAAGGGUGCAAGCGUUAAUCGGAAUUACUGGGCGUAAAGCGUGCGCAGGCGGUUAUAUAAGACAGAUGUGAAAUCCCCGGGCUCAACCUGGGAACUGCAUUUGUGACUGUAUAGCUAGAGUACGGCAGAGGGGGAUGGAAUUCCGCGUGUAGCAGUGAAAUGCGUAGAUAUGCGGAGGAACACCGAUGGCGAAGGCAAUCCCCUGGGCCUGUACUGACGCUCAUGCACGAAAGCGUGGGGAGCAAACAGGAUUAGAUACCCGCGUAGUCCCUGUCUCUUAUAC
rnacentral:rRNA from 1 species